rnacentral:rRNA from 1 species
CGAACGAGUUUAGGCUCGUGGCGUACGGCUCGGUAACACGUGGAUAACCUACCCUUAGGACUGGGAUAACCUUGGGAAACUGAGGAUAAUACUAGAUAGGCAAUUUUUCCUGUAAUGGUUUUUUGUUUAAAUGUUUUUUCGCCUAAGGAUGGGUCUGCGGCCGAUUAGGUAGUUGGUUAGGUAAUGGCUUACCAAGCCGUUGAUCGGUACGGGUUGUGAGAGCAAGAGCCCGGAGAUGGAACCUGAGACAAGGUUCCAGGCCCUACGGGGUGCAGCAGGCGCGAAACCUCCGCAAUGUGAGAAAUCGCGACGGGGGGAUCCCAAGUGCCAUUCUUAACGGGAUGGCUUUUCAUUAGUGUAAA